rnacentral:rRNA from 1 species
GAUGAACGCUGGUGGCGUGCCUAAUACAUGCAAGUCGAGCGAACGGACGAGAAGCUUGCUUCUCUGAUGUUAGCGGCGGACGGGUGAGUAACACGUGGAUAACCUACCUAUAAGACUGGGAUAACUUCGGGAAACCGGAGCUAAUACCGGAUAAUAUUUUGAACCGCAUGGUUCAAAAGUGAAAGACGGUCUUGCUGUCACUUAUAGAUGGAUCCGCGCUGCAUUAGCUAGUUGGUAAGGUAACGGCUUACCAAGGCAACGAUGCAUAGCCGACCUGAGAGGGUGAUCGGCCACACUGAAACUGAGACACGGUCCAGACUCCUACGGGAGGCAGCAGUAGGGAAUCUUCCGCAAUGGGCGAAAGCCUGACGGAGCAACGCCGCGUGAGUGAUGAAGGUCUUCGGAUCGUAAAACUCUGUUAUUAGGGAAGAACAUAUGUGUAAGUAACUGUGCACAUCUUGACGGUACCUAAUCAGAAAGCCACGGCUAACUACGUG